AGCGAUGAAGCACCUUCGGGUGUGAAUUAGCGGCGAACGGGUGAGGAACACGUGAAGAAUCUGCCUUCAACUCUGGGAUAACUCCGGGAAACCGGGGCUAAUACCGGAUAUGAGCCUUGAUCGCAUGAUCGGGGCUGGAAAGUUUUUCGGUUGAAGAUGACUUCGCGGCCUAUCAGCUUGUUGGUGAGGUAAUGGCUCACCAAGGCGACGACGGGUAGCCGGCCUGAGAGGGCGACCGGCCACACUGGGACUGAGACACGGCCCAGACUCCUACGGGAGGCAGCAGUGGGGAAUAUUGGGCAAUGGAGGAAACUCUGACCCAGCGACGCCGCGUGAGGGAUGAAGGCCUUCGGGUUGUAAACCUCUUUCAGUAGGGAAGAAGCGAAAGUGACGGUACCUACAGAAGAAGCACCGGCUAACUAUGUGCCAGCAGCCGCGGUAAUACAUAGGGUGCAAGCGUUGUCCGGAAUUAUUGGGCGUAAAGAGCUCGUAGGUGGUUCGAUACGUCGGAUGUGAAAAUCAGGGGCUCAACCCCUGACCUGCAUCCGAUACGGUCGAGCUAGAGUUUGGUAGGGGAGACUGGAAUUCCUGGUGUAGCGGUGGAAUGCGCAGAUAUCAGGAGGAACACCGAUGGCGAAGGCAGGUCUCUGGGCCAAUACUGACACUGAGGAGCGAAAGCGUGGGGAGCGAACAGGAUUAGAUA
rnacentral:rRNA from 1 species